rnacentral:rRNA from 1 species
UACGGGGGGAGCAAGCGUUGUUCGGAUUUACUGGGCGUAAAGGGCGCGUAGGCGGCCACCGCAAGUCGACUGUGAAAUCUCCGGGCUUAACCCGGAAAGGUCAGCCGAUACUGCGGGGCUAGAGUGCAGAAGGGGCAACUGGAAUUCUCGGUGUAGCGGUGAAAUGCGUAGAUAUCGGGAGGAACACCUGUGGCGAAAGCGGCUCUCUGGACCGUAACUGACGCUGAGACACGAAAGCGUGGGGAGCAAACAGG